GUUAUCGUAGCUUACACUAUUUAUAAAGCAUGGCCYUGAAGCUGCCAAAACGG
rnacentral:tRNA from 1 species